rnacentral:rRNA from 1 species
AGAGUUUGAUCCUGGCUCAGGAUGAACGCUAGCGGCAGGCUUAAUACAUGCAAGUCGUGGGGCAGCAGGUUUGUAGCAAUACAGAUGCUGGCGACCGGCAAACGGGUGCGGAACACGUACAGAACCUUCCUUUGAGCGGGGAAUAGCCCAGAGAAAUUUGGAUUAAUACCCCAUAGUAUAAUGAAGUGGCAUCACUUUAUUAUUAAAGAUUUAUCACUCGAAGAUGGCUGUGCGGCUGAUUAGGUAGUUGGCGGGGUAAAGGCCCACCAAGCCUGCGAUCAGUAACUGGUGUGAGAGCACGACCAGUCACACGGGCACUGAGACACGGGCCCGACUCCUACGGGAGGCAGCAGUAAGGAAUAUUGGUCAAUGGAGGCAACUCUGAACCAGCCAUGCCGCGUGGAGGAUGAAGGUCCUCUGGAUUGUAAACUUCUUUUAUAUGGGACGAAAAAAGGCUUUUCUAAGUCGUCUGACGGUACCAUAUGAAUAAGCACCGGCUAACUCCGUGCCAGCAGCCGCGGUAAUACGGAGGGUGCAAGCGUUAUCCGGAUUCACUGGGUUUAAAGGGUGCGUAGGUGGGUUGGUAAGUCAGUGGUGAAAUCCCCGAGCUUAACUUGGGAACUGCCAUUGAUACUAUCAGUCUUGAAUACCGUGGAGGUCAGCGGAAUAUGUCAUGUAGCGGUGAAAUGCUUAGAUAUGACAUAGAACACCAAUUGCGAAGGCAGCUGGCUACCCGAAUAUUGACACUGAGGCACGAAAGCGUGGGGAUCAAACAGGAUUAGAUACCCUGGUAGUCCACGCCCUAAACGAUGUCGACUAGUCGUUCGGAGCAGCAAUGCACUGAGUGACGCAGCUAACGCGUGAAGUCGACCGCCUGGGGAGUACGGCCGCAAGGUUAAAACUCAAAGGAAUUGACGGGGACCCGCACAAGCGGUGGAUGAUGUGGAUUAAUUCGAUGCAACGCGAAAAACCUUACCUACCCUUGACAUGUCUGGAACCUUGCUGAGAGGCGAGGGUGCCUUCGGGAGCCAGAACACAGGUGCUGCAUGGCUGUCGUCAGCUCGUGUCGUGAGAUGUUGGGUUAAGUCCCGCAACGAGCGCAACCCUUGUCACUAGUUGCCAUCAUUUGGUUGGGCACUCUAGUGAGACUGCCGGUGACAAACCGGAGGAAGGUGGGGAUGACGUCAAGUCCUCAUGGCCCUUAUGGGUAGGGCUUCACACGUCAUACAAUGGUCGGUACAGAGGGUUGCCAAGCCGCGAGGUGGAGCCAAUCCCUUAAAGCCGAUCGUAGUCCGGAUCGUAGUCUGCAACC